rnacentral:rRNA from 1 species
GGGCCCGCACAAGCGGUGGAGUAUGUGGUUUAAUUCGAUGCAACGCGAAGAACCUUACCAGGGUUUGACAUCCUGCGAAUCUCUUGGAAACGAGAGAGUGCCUUCGGGAGCGCAGUGACAGGUGGUGCAUGGCUGUCGUCAGCUCGUGUCGUGAGAUGUUGGGUUAAGUCCCGCAACGAGCGCAACCCACGUCUUUAGUUGCCAGCAUUUAGUUGGGCACUCUAGAGAGACCGCCGGUGAUAAACCGGAGGAAGGUGUGGAUGACGUCAAGUCAUCAUGCCCCUUACAUCCUGGGCUACACACGUACUACAAUGGCCGGUACAGAGAGCAGCCACUUCGCAAGAAGGAGCG